rnacentral:rRNA from 1 species
UACGAAGGGUGCAAGCGUUACUCGGAAUUACUGGGCGUAAAGCGUGCGUAGGUGGUGAGUUAAGUCUGAUGUGAAAUCCCCGGGCUCAACCUGGAAAUGGCAUUGGAUACUGGCUCGCUAGAGUGCGGUAGAGGGUGGUGGAAUUCCCGGUGUAGCAGUGAAAUGCGUAGAGAUCGGGAGGAAUAUCUAAGGAGAAGGCGACCACCGAGAUCUACACUGACACUGAGGCACGAAAGCGUGGGGAGCAAACAGG